GACGAACGCUGGCGGCGUGCUUAACACAUGCAAGUCGAACGGAAAGGCCCUGCUUUUGUGGGGUGCUCGAGUGGCGAACGGGUGAGUAACACGUGAGUAACCUGCCCUUGACUUUGGGAUAACUUCAGGAAACUUGGGCUAAUACCGGAUAGGAGCUCCUGCUGCAUGGUGGGGGUUGGAAAGUUUCGGCGGUUGGGGAUGGACUCGCGGCUUAUCAGCUUGUUGGUGGGGUAGUGGCUUACCAAGGCUUUGACGGGUAGCCGGCCUGAGAGGGUGACCGGCCACAUUGGGACUGAGCUACGGCCCAGACUCCUACGGGAGGCAGCAGUGGGGAAUAUUGCACAAUGGGCGGAAGCCUGAUGCAGCAACGCCGCGUGCGGGAUGACGGCCUUCGGGUUGUAAACCGCUUUCGCCUGUGACGAAGCGUGAGUGACGGUAAUGGGUAAAGAAGCACCGGCUAACUACGUG
rnacentral:rRNA from 1 species